rnacentral:rRNA from 1 species
AAUGAACGUUGGCGGCGUGGAUUAGGCAUGCAAGUCGAGCGAGAACCCGCAAGGGGGACAGCGGCAAACGGGGUAGUAAUGUGUCGGAACGUGCCCUCUGGACGAGGAUAGCGGCGGGAAACUGCCGGUAAUACCCGAUGAACUCGAGAGAGCAAAGGUGUGAUUCCGCCGGAGGAGCGGCCGACAUGGUAUUAGCUAGUUGGCGGGUAACGGCCCACCAAGGCUGUGAUGCCUAGGGGAUGUGAGAGCAUGAUCCCCACCAUUGGGACUGAGACACUGCCCAGACACCUACGGGUGGCUGCAGUCGAGAAUCUUCGUCAAUGGGCGAAAGCCUGAACGAGCGACGCCGCGUGCGGGAUGAAGGCCCUUGGGUUGUAAACCGCUGUCGAGGGGGAUGAAGGCUUGAAGGUACUCCUUCAAGUUUGACAGAGCCCAGAAGGAAGCACGGGCUAAGUUCGUGCCAGCAGCCGCGGUAAU